rnacentral:rRNA from 1 species
GACGAACGCUGGCGGCGCGCCUAACACAUGCAAGUCGAACGAGCGAGAGAGAGCUUGCUUUCUCGAGCGAGUGGCGAACGGGUGAGUAACGCGUGAGGAACCUGCCUCAAAGAGGGGGACAACAGUUGGAAACGACUGCUAAUACCGCAUAAGCCCACGACCCGGCAUCGGGUAGAGGGAAAAGGAGCAAUCCGCUUUGAGAUGGCGUCGCGUCCGAUUAGCUAGUUGGUGAGGGAACGGCCCACCAAGGCGACGGUCGGGAGCCGGACUGGGAGGUUGAACGGCCACGUUGGGUCUGGGACACGGCCCAGGCUCCUACGGGACGCAGCAGGGGGGAAUAUUGCACAGUGGGGGAAACCCUGAUGCAGCGACGCCGCGUGGAGGAAGAAGGUCUUCGGAAUGUAAACUCCUGUUGUUUGGGAAGAUGAUGACGGUACUCAGCAAGGAAGUGACGGCUAACUACGUG